rnacentral:lncRNA from 1 species
GUACACAUUGUUUUGGGUCUAUACCAUGGAGCUUCGAGUUACGAUUUCAGAAUCUUGUAGCCAGAGAUUACUCAGAAGAAGCAUAUAAAAAUGGUUCCAUCAAGGUUUUGCCGAUGAGGUAUCUCAACUCGAUCUCACCGGAGAAUCUUGUUCUUUUAAUGUAAAGAACACAUACAAAGAAGAAAAUUUGGAUUGUAUUAGCUUUACUAAGUUUAACACUGAUACGUUUGGUAUUUGGCACAAUAGCAGCACAGAAAUUCAUCCGACACUGUAAGAGAACUGACCAAUUCCCAAUUGCUGAUAUCUUCAGAGGUCCAUGAGCUUUCAUAAAUGACUGCAGGAAGUCAUCG